UCCCCAGUUAUUUCAUAAAAUGAAUACACGUGUGUACAAAACAAUUUAAAAACAUCUCUUCCACUCCAAAGCACAUGUUCCGAUGAACACAGACGGUGACGCGCAUCUAGAAGCGGAUCAGGUGGUGGGAUCAACAUUGAAAUUAGUAUGGAGAUACAUUUCUUUAGUAGUCUAGCAAUCUCAGGCGGGUGCAAUGUAAGCGCCGGAACGGAAGCCAUGACAGUUUUCCUCGUCUCUACUAUGAUUUCUUUUAAAAUAGAAGAAAACACUUUAUUAAAAAGAAAUAACAUUACAAUUUGAUAAACCGAGGCAGAUAUUCAUGAAGAUAGAUGUAGCACAUCGAAACAUGAUCGUUAUGUGGAAAAUUUGUCCACCAUACUCUCGACCCAAUGAAUUGUGACGAACCCUCACAUGGCCAUUUUCAUUGUCAUUCUAAAGCGUGUAGAGCAUGGCGACAGACAUGGACAGUUUACCAGAUAUAUCGGAUGAUGAAGAUCAACAAACGAUUGUUUGGAAAGUAAAUUCAAGAAAACGAGUUUUCAUUUCUAAUCAAGAAGUCUAUAUGAUGUUGAGGCUAUACCAACUUCACCCCUGAUAAAUGUGAAAUUUGUUUACAUUAACGGUUUUAUUAUAAACUCAAACAAAAUAAGCAGUUAGUUCCGACGAAGAAAGCACUUAGCUUUGCUACGUGUUACAUGCAGCUUUCAAUAGAAUAAAAUGUAAAAUCUU